ensembl:snoRNA LOC120101260 small nucleolar RNA SNORA48
ACGCCCUGGCAAUGGGCAAAGAGACACCUGGUUUGUGGUGUGUUCUUGUAUCAGUCAGGGCAGGCCUUUGUUCAUCCUAGCUUGAUGCCUAGCUUGGUGACCAAAGCUCUCAUGCCUAGGGCACAUAA